ensembl:lncRNA
CUCAUCUAGAGGAUAAACUCAACAGAUACUAUUCAAAGGGUACUUAGAGGUACUACAGACAACAACUCCUGAAGAGACGUCUGCUUUUUAGGAUUUUUGGUAUUCUAACUACGAUAUCAAGAAACGGAUCCGCCCCCCUGUGGCUCACCAGCGCGUCCUAACGCCACGACACUCCUGAGCCCCGAAGCCGCGGAGCCUUCACCAGUGAGGCCUCAUGGAAAAACCCAAGUGGACACUGCGAGGAGGCCCAGCUCUGUGGUCCUGGCAGGGGAAUAUGAUGUGAUAAACACACAGUGAACCUUCAAACCAGCGCAGUCAGCCGGUGCCCGGUGGUGAUGGUGAGAGGCCGGCAGUGAGGUUUUCAUGCACUGUGUGUGUGUGAGGG